ACUGGGUGUGGUGGCACACACCUGUAAUCCCAGUGUCUCAGGAGGCUGAGGCAGGAGGAUCCCAAGUUCAGAGGCAACCUGAGAAAUUCAGUGAGCCCUAAGCAACUUAGCAAAACCCUGUCUCAA
rnacentral:sRNA from 1 species